CCGCGACCCCAGGUCAGGCGGGACUACCCGCUGAGUUUAAGCAUAUAAAUAAGCGGAGGAGAAGGAACUUACGAGGAUUCCCCUAGUAACGGC
rnacentral:rRNA from 1 species